UACGUAGGGGGCAAGCGUUAUCCGGAUUUACUGGGUGUAAAGGGAGCGUAGACGGCAGAGCAAGUCUGAAGUGAAAGCCCGCGGCCCAACUGCGGGACUGCUUUGAAAACUGCCCGGCUAGAGUGCUGGAGAGGUAAGCGGAAUUCCUAGUGUAGCGGUGAAAUGCGUAGAUAUUAGGAGGAACACCAGUGGCGAAGGCGGCUUACUGGACAGUAACUGACGUUGAGGCUCGAAAGCGUGGGGAGCAAACAGG
rnacentral:rRNA from 1 species